GAUGAAGAACGUAGCGAAAUGCGAUAAGUAAUGUGAAUUGCAGAAUUCAGUGAAUCAUCGAAACUUUGAACGCACAUUGCGCCCCCUGGUAUUCCGGGGGGCAUGCCUGUUCGAGCGUCAUUUCACCACUCAAGCCUCGCUUGGUAUUGGGCGACGCGGUCCGCCGCGCGCCUCAAAUCGACCGGCUGGGUCUUCCGUCCCCUCAGCGUUGUGGAAACUAUUCGCUAAAGGGUGCCGCGGGAGGUCACGCCGCAAAACAACCCCAUUUCUAAGGUUGACCUCGGAUCAGGUAGGGAUACCCGCUGAACUUAAGCAUAUCAAUAAGCGGAGGA
rnacentral:misc_RNA from 1 species